AGAUGUUGCCUGGUGACCUGUCAGAAACCCAUCAUACAGAGUCAGCCAAAAUAAUGUUUACAUACAUCAGGAAAAGAAAAACUUACAUCAAUAUUUCAGUACCAAAUUUAUUCAGACAUCAGGAGAUUAAUAAAAGUUAUCUUUGGCCUCUACAAUUACAAGAGGUGCUCAAAGUGGAGGCCACUGGCUUCCACACAUUUCUGUUGUGUUGUAGACGUCACUUGUUGAUGCUCCAUUCAUGAGGGUAGCGCCAUCUGUUGGGAAAACAUCGUACAACAGGACACAGAGUUAUCAUGAUUUGAUCUAACUUAGAAAGAGGAAUCUAUAUGUAUAGAAGUACUUAUACAAAUGAAAUAUUUAUAAAAGUUUUUCUUUUCCUGAUGCGUGUCUACAUUAUUUUGGCUGAUUCUGACUCUGUGAACUUAAUGAGAACAAAACUGUCAUUUAAUUGUUGCUCUGAAAGCUUCUUUAGUGAAAACCAGCUGGUGUUCUGCUUUGAAACAAACUGCUGUUGAGGUCUGUGUUUUUAGGUUUAACCCCACAGUUUCUGAAUGAACUGAUAGUUUGUUUUUUUUCCUGAUCAAUGUGGACGUUAUAAUUGAUGGUAUCAUUUACUGAUCAUAUAAUCUGCAUGACAAUAUAACAGUAUAACAUUCUGACCACCUGACUAAUACUGUGUUGGUCCCUUUAUGCUGCUAAAACUCCUCUGACCCAGUGGUUCAUCAGAACCUCUGGGGAUCCUGUGGGUUCUGUGGAUCCUGUGGGUUACAGGGUGGGUCCUACCUAGACCAGGCUGAUCCUGGACCAUCCAACAGAUGCUCAAUCAGAUGUGGAUGUGGGGAGUGUGGAACCCAGAUGUUCAGAGGGAGAUGAUGCCACAUCUGGUCCAGCUGAUGGAAGGUCUUGAAGUUCUCUGACUGGCCUCGACUGAAGAUGGUCGUCUCACUGGAUUUAAGGUUCAGAUGCUCAGUAACAAACUCCACCAAUGAGCCAACAGGGAAGCUUUAGGUUUAUUAAAUGUUGCUAUGAAGGUUUCACUGUUUUUCUUUGUGAAUGCAAUGUGCUCCAACUGAACUUGAAUUAGAACUUAGAAGUAAAUCCUUCCAUCUGAAAGGAUUUAGUUGCAUUAAUAACUUCAUAACAUUCUAAUUUUUAUUCCAGUCUUGGCUGGAAAUAGAAUCUCUGUAUUGAUUCAGGUAAAAACUGAACUUCACAGCAUGUUGGAGCAAAACAACCAGAUGAAAACUGUGAUGGUGUUGGAUUAUCAGACCGUAAUGUUGCAGCUCAAAGCAGCUUUUCUAGCUCAGUUCAUUCUGACAUUCAGCUAUGAAUCAACACAGCAGAUGGUGAUCCAUGCUGUGGAAGUCUCACAUCUCCUGAUUUAAUGGAGCUGCUUUACACUUUUUACACUGUUUAUUCACCAACACUUUAUUUAAUCAAAGUCCCAUCUAGUUUUUAUGAGGAAUGUGAUGUUUUAAUUUCUCUGUGAAUAACUGCAGUCUAAUGGAACAGCUGGAAUUGUAACAUCUGUCCUGAUAUUGAUCAUGAAGUAUUGAUCAGAAUACUUAUGGUCAGCAGUCAUCCCUGAAGUUUUACAUUAAAAUCUUUACUUGUGUUGUGAACUUUGGUAAGAAGCAGAAACUUUAGCGUUGCCAUGGAUACAUGAGUGUUAAAUUCUGUCCAUGUUUCCAUUUUGGGAAAUUCAGUCCAGUUCCAGAAUGUGGAGGAAUUUAGUCUCACAAUCACAGACAAUAAAUAUUAUGUGAAAGUCAGGUUAUUGUUGUUUAUCAGCACAAUACAAAAAGAUUAAUGUUAGAAAUAUUCCAGUUCAGACUCUAGAAUAUCAGGAUUUAUGUAAAUUUACCUCAAUAAUAUGAAUGUUCAGGUUAAGAUUGUGCAGUGAUAUUUAUUAUGUAAGUUUAGCUGAUUAAAGUUUAUGACUUUGCACUAAAAUAUUAUUUAAAUUGACAUCAUUAUUAUAAUAUUUAGGGUCCGACUCUACAGUAUUGAGAUUAAGAAAUCAAAUAUUCUAUAAAAUGUAAAUACACUGAACUCAUUUGGAGAUAUUUAAGUGAGACUCUACAAUAUUAUUUGACACAAAUCUAUCUAAAUCCAAAUUUUAAUCAUUUUUACUCCAAACAUUUACUGGACUGAUUAAAAUAUUAAAAUCACUCCUUUCUAAUCCUCUGCUGUAUGUUCAAACCUGAGGCCUUAAAUAGAAACACACAAGUAUCUGAUUGAAGGAACUUCUGCAGAGUCCUGGUUCCAGAACAUGAUGAUAGAAUUAUAGACAAACUUUAACAAAAGCUGCCUGAGAGUUUACAGGUUUUUAUGUUGGAUUUCUUCAGUAAUUUAAUGAGAGUUAUCAGCAAAAAUCAAGUGUUCAUUUGAUGAACUUCAUUUCCUAAAACAUCCAGAAUUGGAGCUCAUAUCUUUGGCAGCUGUAAAGUUUCUGCUCCUUCAAAGAUCACAACACAAUGAAUGAAUUCCUAAAACACUCUCAAUGCUGGAGAGCGUUUGUGAUGCUGAAGCAGUGACCAGUUUUUCUGUUUCUUCUCUGGAGAUGCAAAAUGAGGGACGUCUGCAGAGACUGAGAAAGAGUCUCACCACAUCCUGACAUGAGGAAAAAGACUUUAUUGAAGACUACAAUGAGAAAAACUAUCAGACAGCAGACGGCUGCAUUCAAGGUGAGAUCUGAACAUUUGAUCUGGAACAGGAAUUCAAUAACGGCAGCAUGAGCUUCAUUUCAGUCUGUAGCUGCUGAAUUCAUGGAUGAAUCAUCUGGCACUAGAGAGGAAGACCAUCAAACAUCCACGUCAGCUGAUGGAGGUCCAAGAGUCUCACCCAACAAACAACCUACAGAGUGAAGACCUCCAAUCUGAUUGGACGGCCUCCUAUUCAGCCACGUGUGAACAAAUGCCUCUAAGUUGAUUUGUUUUCUAAAAUAAAUCUAGUUUGAGCCCUAAUCUAUGCCUGUGUGUUUGCUUCUUUACACUGCUGUUAACAGUUUAGGCUGUUAGAUUGUUCCAGAUAAGACAAGUACAAGAUUCUUCAGAGCCGUUCUACCAGGAGUGUGACAGGAAGAACUCCAACAGCUACUGAAUGUUCCUGUGGUUCCCUCAAGGCUACAGGAGUCCUACGAGGACGAGCCGGUCCACCUGAUGGUGGCCAGUCGCUGCGGUUCAAAGCCAACACCGACUACAUGGACUUCUACUGGACCACACGGAGGCCUUCAAACCGGACCAACAAGUUCAGCGACUCCCCGACUCGUGGGUCUGAGGACGCCGCCGAGCCUCGGUCCAGCCGGCCUCCUGUCUGUGGGUGUUUGAGUGCUGAGAGGUUUGUGGAUGCAUGUGAACGUUCUGUGUUGAAACAGCAGCUUUGGACUCAGUAACGCUGGGAAAAACCAAGAGCUCCUUUAUUUGUGACUUCCACUAAAAAACUGAUGAAAAUAAGUUUGCCAGGGUUCUGACUGAUAACAGAUUAUUAAAUAAUGAAAAUAAUCCUUUAAAUAUUCCUUUAAAUAAUCCUUUUAGGUCUACAUUUCCUUUACACUGACUUCUUGGUAAAUGUACAAGUAUUUAGGGUGGAAUAUACCAUUAAACCCAAUGUUCAAGGGUUCUUCUGGGAAUAUACCAUUAAACCAACCUUUUAGGUAAAUGUUCCAGGAUGUUGGGUAGAAUAUACCAUCAGAUCAACCUUUUAGGUCUACAUUGGAAGAUUUUAGAGUAGAAUAUUACUCCAAACCAUCCUUUAGCUCUACAUUUAAGGUGGAAUACUCCUUUACACCAAGAUUUUUUGGUCUACAUUGAAGGAUUUUAGGUGGAAUAUUCCUUUGAACCAACUUUUUAAGUUUAUGUUCAAGGAUGUUGGGUGGAAUAUACCAUCAGACCAACCUCCAAGGUCUACAGUAGUGAAUUUUAGGUGGAAUAUACCAUUAAACUCACCUUUUAGGUCUACAUUGGAGGAUUUUAGGUGGAAUUUUCUUCCAAACCGUUUUUACAUCUACAUUUAAGGAUGUUUAGGAUGGUAUAUUCUUCCAAACCAACUUCUCAGGUCUACAUUUCAGGUGGAAUAUUCCUCCAUACUAACUUUUUUGGUCUACAUUGAAGGAUUUUUUCUAAACCACCCUUUGGGGUCUAUAUUUGAGGUUUUAGGUGGAAUAUUCCUUUUAACCAGCCCCUCAGGUCUCUGAGGAUUUUGGAUGGAAUACUCAGUUAAACCAACAUUUUAGGUGCAUGUCCAAGGAUUUUUGGUGGAAUGUUCCUUUAAGGUGGAUGUGUGAGGAUCUUGUAGAUGGAAUACUUCCUGAAACCAACCUUUUAGGUCAACGUUCAAAGAUUUAAGGUGGAAUAUUCCUCUAAACCAACCUAAAUUUCAUGUUUUGAUCAUUAUCAAGUGAGAAACCUCAAACCAGACUCCUUAUAAUGACGUUUGACAUUUAUGCUGCUGUUAUUUGUUUAGUCCAGACUAAAUGACAGAAAUCCACAACUGUAAUUUUAUUUCAGGACUUGGUUAUUAAAUGUCAAAACAAUCCAUGUGACUCUAAAAACUCAACAGCUUUACAAAGAUUAAACUUUCCACAAGGAUCCAAAAUAGGUUGGACUUCUACAUGAGAGCUUUAAUUAUUCUUCAUCUACUUCCUGAAAAGUUUGGUCAAUAAAAAAGACAAAAACUAAUAUUUUCAGCUGAACUAAAGACAGACUUUGUGAUUUUUCUGCUCACAUGUUGUGUUGUUGUAAACUUCCUCUUUCAAAUAAAUAUCCUCCUAACCCCCUGGAAA